rnacentral:rRNA from 1 species
UACUAUAGCUUGACACUGAACAUUGAGCCUUGAUGUGUAGGAUAGGUGGGAGGCUUGGAAGUGUGGACGCCAGUCUGCAUGGAGCCGACCUUGAAAUACCACCCUUUAAUGUUUGAUGUUCUAACGUGGACCCGUGAUCCGGGUUGCGGACAGUGUCUGGUGGGUAGUUUGACUGGGGCGGUCUCCUCCUAAAGAGUAACGGAGGAGCACGAAGGUUGGCUAAUCCUGGUCGGACAUCAGGAGGUUAGUGCAAUGGCAUAAGC